rnacentral:rRNA from 3 species
GGUCAAGUGAAGAAGCGCAUACGGUGGAUGCCUUGGCAGUCAGAGGCGAUGAAAGACGUGGUAGCCUGCGAAAAGCUUCGGGGAGUCGGCAAACAGACUUUGAUCCGGAGAUGUCUGAAUGGGGGAACCCAGCCAUCAUAAGAUGGUUAUCUUGUACUGAAUACAUAGGUGCAAGAGGCGAACCAGGGGAACUGAAACAUCUAAGUACCCUGAGGAAAAGAAAUCAACCGAGAUUCCCUUAGUAGUGGCGAGCGAACGGGGACUAGCCCUUAAGUGGCUUUGAGAUUAGCGGAACGCUCUGGAAAGUGCGGCCAUAGUGGGUGAUAGCCCUGUACGCGAAAAUCUCUUAGUCAUGAAAUCGAGUAGGACGGAGCACGAGAAACUUUGUCUGAAUAUGGGGGGACCAUCCUCCAAGGCUAAAUACUACUGACUGACCGAUAGUGAACUAGUACCGUGAGGGAAAGGCGAAAAGAACCCCGGAGAGGGGAGUGAAAUAGAUCCUGAAACCGUAUGCGUACAAGCAGUGGGAGCCCACUUUGUUGGGUGACUGCGUACCUUUUGUAUAAUGGGUCAGCGACUUAUUUUCAGUGGCGAGCUUAACCGAAUAGGGGAGGCGUAGCGAAAGCGAGUCUUAAUAGGGCGUCUAGUCGCUGGGAAUAGACCCGAAACCGGGCGAUCUAUCCAUGGGCAGGUUGAAGGUUGGGUAACACUAACUGGAGGACCGAACCGACUACCGUUGAAAAGUUAGCGGAUGACCUGUGGAUCGGAGUGAAAGGCUAAUCAAGCUCGGAGAUAGCUGGUUCUCCUCGAAAGCUAUUUAGGUAGCGCCUCAUGUAUCACUGUAGGGGGUAGAGCACUGUUUCGGCUAGGGGGUCAUCCCGACUUACCAAACCGAUGCAAACUCCGAAUACCUACAAGUGCCGAGCAUGGGAGACACACGGCGGGUGCUAACGUCCGUCGUGAAAAGGGAAACAACCCAGACCGUCAGCUAAGGUCCCAAAGUUAUGGUUAAGUGGGAAACGAUGUGGGAAGGCUUAGACAGCUAGGAGGUUGGCUUAGAAGCAGCCACCCUUUAAAGAAAGCGUAAUAGCUCACUAGUCGAGUCGGCCUGCGCGGAAGAUGUAACGGGGCUCAAACCAUACACCGAAGCUACGGGUAUCACGUAAGUGAUGCGGUAGAGGAGCGUUCUGUAAGCCUGUGAAGGUGAGUUGAGAAGCUUGCUGGAGGUAUCAGAAGUGCGAAUGCUGACAUGAGUAACGACAAUGGGUGUGAAAAACACCCACGCCGAAAGACCAAGGUUUCCUGCGCAACGUUAAUCGACGCAGGGUUAGUCGGUCCCUAAGGCGAGGCUGAAAAGCGUAGUCGAUGGAAAACAGGUUAAUAUUCCUGUACUUCUGGUUAUUGCGAUGGAGGGACGGAGAAGGCUAGGCCAGCUUGGCGUUGGUUGUCCAAGUUUAAGGUGGUAGGCUGAGAUCUUAGGUAAAUCCGGGAUCUUAAGGCCGAGAGCUGAUGACGAGUCAUCUUUUAGAUGACGAAGUGGUUGAUGCCAUGCUUCCAAGAAAAGCUUCUAAGCUUCAGGUAACCAGGAACCGUACCCCAAACCGACACAGGUGGUUGGGUAGAGAAUACCAAGGCGCUUGAGAGAACUCGGGUGAAGGAACUAGGCAAAAUGGCACCGUAACUUCGGGAGAAGGUGCGCCGGUGAGGGUGAAGGACUUGCUCCGUAAGCUCAUGCCGGUCGAAGAUACCAGGCCGCUGCGACUGUUUAUUAAAAACACAGCACUCUGCAAACACGAAAGUGGACGUAUAGGGUGUGACGCCUGCCCGGUGCCGGAAGGUUAAUUGAUGGGGUUAGCUAACGCGAAGCUCUUGAUCGAAGCCCCGGUAAACGGCGGCCGUAACUAUAACGGUCCUAAGGUAGCGAAAUUCCUUGUCGGGUAAGUUCCGACCUGCACGAAUGGCGUAACGAUGGCGGCGCUGUCUCCACCCGAGACUCAGUGAAAUUGAAAUCGCUGUGAAGAUGCAGUGUAUCCGCGGCUAGACGGAAAGACCCCGUGAACCUUUACUAUAGCUUUGCACUGGACUUUGAAUUUGCUUGUGUAGGAUAGGUGGGAGGCUUUGAAGCGUGGACGCCAGUCUGCGUGGAGCCAUCCUUGAAAUACCACCCUGGCAACUUUGAGGUUCUAACUCAGGUCCGUUAUCCGGAUCGAGGACAGUGUAUGGUGGGUAGUUUGACUGGGGCGGUCUCCUCCUAAAGAGUAACGGAGGAGUACGAAGGUGCGCUCAGACCGGUCGGAAAUCGGUCGUAGAGUAUAAAGGCAAAAGCGCGCUUGACUGCGAGACAGACACGUCGAGCAGGUACGAAAGUAGGUCUUAGUGAUCCGGUGGUUCUGUAUGGAAGGGCCAUCGCUCAACGGAUAAAAGGUACUCCGGGGAUAACAGGCUGAUACCGCCCAAGAGUUCAUAUCGACGGCGGUGUUUGGCACCUCGAUGUCGGCUCAUCACAUCCUGGGGCUGAAGCCGGUCCCAAGGGUAUGGCUGUUCGCCAUUUAAAGUGGUACGCGAGCUGGGUUUAGAACGUCGUGAGACAGUUCGGUCCCUAUCUGCCGUGGACGUUUGAGAUUUGAGAGGGGCUGCUCCUAGUACGAGAGGACCGGAGUGGACGAACCUCUGGUGUUCCGGUUGUCACGCCAGUGGCAUUGCCGGGUAGCUAUGUUCGGAAUAGAUAACCGCUGAAAGCAUCUAAGCGGGAAACUAGCCUCAAGAUGAGAUCUCACUGGAACCUUGAGUUCCCUGAAGGGCCGUCGAAGACUACGACGUUGAUAGGUUGGGUGUGUAAGCGCUGUGAGGCGUUGAGCUAACCAAUACUAAUUGCCCGUGAGGCUUGACCAU